AUUUAAAGCGCAGUCCUUAACUCCAGCCUUUACCAGAUUGUUAUCAAUCGUGGUAUUGCAUUGUGGCUCCUACCAAACUAGUCUGAGAGGAAGCGAUCAGAGCUCACAGUCCCAACAGCACAUAGGAGCUGCUUGAAACGCCAGGAGCUGCUAGUUCUUACUCCGGUGUACAGACAAAGGGGUAAAAGACAGAGGGCUGUCUGUUUCCUGAUAUGUGAGGCAGCACAUGUCCAACAAGAGGUGGGUCCAACUGAAAUGACUCCUGAAAUAUCCAUCAGCAUAAAUUACAUCUUUGGUAGUGCUGAUUCCCUCUUUUGGACUAAUGAAGUUAUAUGCCCCUGCACAACUACCAAGACGCCUGCUAAUGUCUUUUAAUUUGCAAAGAUAAUUGCAACACGGUUCCACUUAAAAAUCUAUACAUGCCAGGAAAUGAAGCUAAAACCGACCAAUCCACAUGGGUAAUUGUUUCUCCCUUAGAUUCUCUAAUGUAUAGCUGCAUAUCAAGGGUCUAAUGACACCAAUCAAAUGAUAUAUGCACUAAUGAAGCAGUCAGGGUUGACAUGGCAUGUGCAAAGGUUAUAAAAUAAGGAUUUGUGCAACUACUUAUGAAUACUAAUCUGCUUAUCAUUGUUUCUAUCUAGCACCUUGUUUGGCAAAUGCCAACAUUUGCAUUUGGUGCCUAAAGGUGCUAGAAAACCAGGCUAGGCUAUGCCCCAACAUUUGCAAGAAGCCAAUGUAACACAGACUGAGAACAGAACAUGUUGUGCGUGUUGUUAUCUUAAGGUUAGAGGCACACAGAUGCACGCAUGCUCACUCAUAUGCAUUCAGGGCGAGUAAGAGAAACAAUAGAGGAGCAGGCUGUAGUAGACUUGGUGGCAAGGAAAGUCUAGACAUAAUGAGUUUAAUAACGUACAAUGUUCAUUAAAACAUAGCUCACAGCCUCUCCGGAGGUGUCACUCCUGUCAGAUUAGUGGUGCUGAGAGAUGGCUGGUGCUGAGUGGAAGCAGCCCAUAUGGUCUGUCUGCUUGACAACACUGUGACCCACAACAGAUGUGCUGUUUUUCCUCUCCCCUGAUGUUAGGAUCAGCUUCUUUGUCACACCUGUGCUUUCUCCCAAGCCACACAAUAACAUCAACAAAUGAGACUGCUGGAUUUGCCCUCUGAGUCAACAAAGGAUUCUGGGCAGCCACAAAAUACAUUUUGACUUUAUUAGGAAGACUGGCUUCCUUUUGGGCAUUAUUAGAACAGUGGUAACCUAAAGACAAAGAUUAAUUAUUCCUGUGUGAUGUUUGCAUGCUAAUGUCCAGGAUGUGACUUUGGACUGGUUUUUAAAACCAGGAUGUGGAUGUCACUAUUUGUGGAUGUCACUAUCCCCGUCUCCUAGAAAUUAGAUCCAUAGAAUAACUAAUUUGUUAUGCUGAAUAAUUCACUGGUAAUUUAUUUUCUAGUCAAAAAGCA